UUUAUGGAGAGUUUGAUCCUGGCUCAGGAUGAACGCUGGCGGCGUGCCUAAUACAUGCAAGUCGAGCGAACUGACGAGGAGCUUGCUCCUUUGACGUUAGCGGCGGACGGGUGAGUAACACGUGGGUAACCUACCUAUAAGACUGGAAUAACUCCGGGAAACCGGGGCUAAU
rnacentral:rRNA from 1 species